rnacentral:rRNA from 1 species
CCUACGGGAGGCAGCAGUGGGGAAUAUUGGACAAUGGGGGGAACCCUGAUCCAGCGACGCCGCGUGAGUGAAGAAGUAUUUCGGUAUGUAAAGCACUAUCAGCAGGGAAGAAAGAAAUGACGGUACCUGACUAAGAAGCCCCGGCUAACUACGUGCCAGCAGCCGCGGUAAUACGUAGGGGGCAAGCGUUAUCCGGAUUUACUGGGUGUAAAGGGAGCGUAGACGGCGAUGCAAGUCUGAAGUGAAAGGCGGGGGCCCAACCCCCGGACUGCUUUGGAAACUGUAUGGCUGGAGUGCAGGAGAGGUAAGUGGAAUUCCUAGUGUAGCGGUGAAAUGCGUAGAGAUUAGGAGGAACACCAGUGGCGAAGGCGGCCUGCUGGACGAUGACUGACGUUGAGGCUCGAAAGCGUGGGGAGCAAACAGGAUUAGAUACCCCAGUAGUC